AACGAACGCUGGCGGCAGGCUUAACACAUGCAAGUCGAACGCUUGGGAGCGAUCCCUUGAGUGGCAGACGGGUGAGUAACGCGUGGGAACAUACCCUUCGGUACGGAACAACUUGGGGAAACUCGAGCUAAUACCGUAUGCGGCCUAUGGGCGAAAGAUUGUAUCGCCGAAGGAUUGGCCCGCGUCCGAUUAGCUAGUUGGUGGGGUAACGGCCCACCAAGGCGACGAUCGGUAGCUGGUCUGAGAGGAUGGCCAGCCACAUUGGGACUGAGACACGGCCCAAACUCCUACGGGAGGCAGCAGUGGGGAAUAUUGGACAAUGGGCGCAAGCCUGAUCCAGCCAUGCCGCGUGAGUGAUGAAGGCCUUAGGGUUGUAAAGCUCUUUCGCACGCGACGAUAAUGACGGUAGCGUGAGAAGAAGCCCCGGCUAACUUCGUGCCAGCAGCCGCCGUAAG
rnacentral:rRNA from 1 species